CCUGUUCUCCAAGAAUAAUUCCACAGACCACCACAAUCAGAUUGCUUUUCAUAACAAACAACUUCAGGAAUCUCUGUCCCUUGUUUUCUCAGCUUAUCAAAAUGAUACAAUGUUGACAUGCCACUAGGGCCCGCUCCAAUAAUACAUACAUGUUUUUUCUGAGGCAUUUUUCUCACAAAAUCUUAGGCUAAAGUGAAGACGAUGAAUGGUUAAUUUUGUUUCAAUAACACCAAGAGAUGCAGAGGGCUAGGCCUGAUAAGGCUGCUGCCUUUUAAGUUACGUUUACACGCUGCGAUCACAGAGGAGAGAUAUACAGAGAGGAAACAGACACUCGCUAUAACCUCAAUUUUUGUGUCACGUGUUCCACGCGCCACGCAAAAUUUCCCAGCCAGUGCCGUCGCUGAAAUUUCAUAGCAAAAGAUAGGGAAAACGCCGUUUUUCAAAAAAAUGAGAUACCCAUGGAAAUUUUGUUCAAUAAAUUAUUGUAGAAUAACGGUAAGUGAUCACUUUUAUUGAUUUCCUUUUAUUAAAAGUUUUUUCCCUAUCUACUCCUUAUUAAAAUCGUGAAAAGCACUGGCUGGAAAUUUCAGAUGCUCAUGUAUAAAUAACAAAGCAGCGAAUGAUAUAAAUUCCUCAAAAAUAUAACUCUCGCAUAAAAAAAAAUGAAUACUUCUAUAAUAUGUAUAGAUUUAUUCCUCUGCAUUAUUAAAAUUUAAUAAAAUGGUGAAUUAAUAUAAUUUUCUAUAGUUAAUAGACUUAAUGUAUCGGCGUGAUCAAAUUUGCCGCGAGUUUCCUCUCUGUAUAUCUCUUCUCUGUGCUGCUAUUAAUCGUGUACGCAAAAUUUUGUCAAAACUAUGCCGGGGUCACCUACCCUGUGAUGUUGUCAUAUUUUUUUAAAUCUUGAAGAAGCGCUGAUUGGCUGUUGUACUGGAAUCAGUGCACAACAGCCAAUCAGCGCUUCUACAAGAUUUAAAAAAUAUGACAACAUCACAUGGUAGGUGACCCCAGCAUAGCAUAUAGUUUUGAAAAUUUUUUUCAAAAAACCCGAAAAUAAUUCGCUUCCGUUUAAAAUCCUUAGAAUGAACUUUUGAAGUUAAAACUUUGGGAGAAUGUAGUAAAAUUACCCGUGUUUGAAAUGAUGUAUAUUUUAUAUUGUUUUUGCUUUUAAUUUGCGAAAUAUUCAUACUCUAGUAAGCGUUGUAAUAAAUUUCCGUUAAAACUCUUGCCAACCUUGUCAUAAUAAUAAACAAAGUAUAGACUCGAUGCAAAAAUUUUCAACGCGCAAUUUUGGGCUGCCUAUAUAGGCUCUUAAUAGUUAAAAUGUGCAAAAAAGCAAACAUAUUUAAGAAGAAUUGAUGAGUAUCCGUGAGAUAUUAACAACCUGUGAGCUGACCUGAGGUUUUAGUAAAAUCUGUGAUGCUCACGGUGGAUCCGUGAGAGUUGGCAACUUGCCAAUGGCCUCGUUUCCAUGUUAACUUAUUUUAGCAUGUCAAAUUUCAACCCUACUAAGCACAAAACAUGAGUAAAUAUUUGACACGAAAACGAGGCCAUUGAGUGAAAAGUGAACAAACGGUAAGGUCUAUUGCAAUCAAAACGUACAAGCGAGAAAAACAUGGAAAAAACAUAGUUUCAGUGAUGGAAAGCAUUUCACUGAUUUUGUUCUACUGGUUUUCAGACCACUUUAGUUGACAGCAGAAAUUUAGUAUUUUUUUCUACAUUUUGGUAAUUUUUUGCAUGCUUAUUUAAGGCCCUGUCACACUAUUGCGUAUGAGAGAAACGUGUGAGAAUCGUAUGAAAAUUAAUGUAAUAAUUUUCAUACGCACAAAAAUCCUUUGAAAUGCCAGCGUAUGAGUACCGUACAUCCGGCGUACAUGUACCUCUAGCGUAUUCAGCGUGUGCCUAGAGUAUGCUUAUCGUAUAAAGCAUACGUCCGAUACGCACAACAUUUUUGAACAUGCUUAAAAAAAAAUUUCCGCCUCGGCGUAUGCCAGCGUAUGCUACCGUACUUGAAACGUAUACAACCUAUGCCUAACGUACCCCUGGCGUAUGUCAGCGUAUACCGGCGUAUGAGUGAUAUUUUUCAUACGCUGGCAAACGCUAGUACGAUACGCAAUAGUGUGACAUGGCCUUUAGUAAUUGCCUUGCAAAAUAUCUGGUCACACUGGGUACGAGAUUGGUGAUUUGAGUGAUUUCUGAUUUCAAAAUUCACUGAUUUCGCUCGUGAUUUCUUGAUUUCGGGUUUGAUUCUGAGUCGAGUGUACGAGAUUUCAGCCGUGGCGGGCUCCUCGGUUCAGUCACAGGCGGCCCAAUCCCUGAAUGGUCUAUAUAUUUUGAAUAUUUAUACGGAAUAUUUAACCGUUUUAAUAUUUAAUAACGAAAU